rnacentral:rRNA from 1 species
UCUUUUUGUUUAAAAUUUAAGGUCUGGCCUGCUCAAUGAAAUAUUAAAUAGCCGCAGUAUUUUGACUGUGCUAAGGUAGCAUAAUCAUUAGUUUUUUAAUUGAAAACUGGUAUGAAUGGUUGGAUGAGAAAAUAGCUGUCUCUAAUUAAGUAAUUAAAACUUUAUUUUUAAGUUCAAAAGCUUAAAUAAUAUUUAAAGACGAGAAGACCCUAUAGAAUUUUAUAUAAAAAUUAGAUUUAUUUUUUAGAAUUUAGCUUUAGAUUUAAUAUUAUAUUUGAUUGGGGUGAUUAAAAAAUUUAAUUAACUUUUUUUUAUUUUAAUAUAAAUUAAUAAAUGUAUGAUCCAAAAAUUUUGAUUAUAAGAUAAAUUACCUUAGGGAUAACAGCGUAAUUUUAUUAGAGAGUUCUUAUUGAUAAUAAAGUUUGCGACCUCGAUGUUGGAUUAAAA